GAUGAACGCUGGCGGCGUGCCUAAUACAUGCAAGUCGAGCGAACAGACGAGGAGCUUGCUCCUCUGACGUUAGCGGCGGACGGGUGAGUAACACGUGGAUAACCUACCUAUAAGACUGGGAUAACUUCGGGAAACCGGAGCUAAUACCGGAUAAUAUAUUGAACCGCAUGGUUCAAUAGUGAAAGACGGUUUUGCUGUCACUUAUAGAUGGAUCCGCGCCGCAUUAGCUAGUUGGUAAGGUAACGGCUUACCAAGGCAACGAUGCGUAGCCGACCUGAGAGGGUAAUCGGCCACACUGGAACUGAGACACGGUCCAGACUCCUACGGGAGGCAGCAGUAGGGAAUCUUCCGCAAUGGGCGAAAGCCUGACGGAGCAACGCCGCGUGAGUGAUGAAGGUCUUCGGAUCGUAAAACUCUGUUAUUAGGGAAGAACAAAUGUGUAAGUAACUAUGCACGUCUUGACGGUACCUAAUCAGAAAGCCACGGCUAACUACGU
rnacentral:rRNA from 1 species